rnacentral:rRNA from 1 species
UUCCCGUCCGCUCAGCCGUACUUAAGCCACACGCCGGGAGGUUAGUAGUUGGGUGGGUGACCACCAGCGAAUCCCUUCUGUUGUAUGUU